CAAGAUUUGUGUGUGACCGCAAAAGUGAAACAAAAACAAACGACGACAAGAAACGCGAAUAACAUGACCAUCGGGAAAGAAAAAAAAAACCCAACGCUCUCCUACCAAAUGACCAUGGCUUUUUUUUUUUUUUUCAAUUCGUCCCUUUACACGAGAAAAAUCCGGGCAUUUUCUCUCCACUGGGCGCAAUCAGCGAGCCUCUCAGCGGACUCGAAACAGGAGAGAGUCGAGAGAAAGAAAAAGAGGGAGAAAAGCUAUUAUAUCGCUGCUAGCACAAGCAUUUAAAACAACAAGAUAUACAACAGAACAAAAAACCGAAGGGUAAUUUUCUUUUGAAAUUCAUAUGGGUCAGUUUUUUUUCUUCUUUCUUUCUGUGCUUUCAGCAACGCGUGGGACCUAAGAAGCUUUCUCUCUCGGGGCGAUCCGACCGGAAUGACUAUAACCCAUCACUAAGAGAACGAGCAAGAAUCCAGCCUAACAACAAAGCGCGCAUUCACACACACACACACAAAAUAAAACCGAUCGUGCUGAAUUGUUAAGUGCGCAGUAUCACAUAGAUAAAGAAAGAAAGAACAAAAAAAAAAAAACAAGGAGAAAAGAAGAAAAUGAGUAUAGCGUGUAGUUCGGAAAUGAUGGCAGCCCAAAUGAAUUGAGGUUGAUUUGGAAGUGUAAUCACAUUGGGGAAAAUAAUUUAAAGAAGCUAUAGAAGGAAAACAAAAAAAAUGGUAGCGAGAAACAACGAACGAGAAAGAGAGAAAGGAGUUUAAGAGCCACGCUGUUGUUGUUGUUGUUGCAGCAGCCCAAAAUGUCCGAACGAUCGUAUAAGGAAAUCGAGGUCAAGCGACUCACGCGUCUUUUUUUUUCGCCCGAAUGCGGAAGGGAAGAAAAAAACGACGUGAACGCACGAAAUAAAGGUGUGCGUUUUGGCUGUGAUUUUUCUCUACCUCCGACAGAAAAGAAAAAAAAAGAUUUACUAACCGACAGUGAGAAAGCCAACAUGCAAAUUAGGAGCAAAAAGAAGUCGACUUCUUUUUUCGCUUCCUUUUCGGAGUUAUUAAAAACCAGGACAUGUCAACAUAAUCAUUCAACAUGUUGCCCCCAUGCGUGAACUGUUGCUCCUGAAUUUAAAAAAAAAUAAUCUCUUUGUUUUGUGUUUCUUGUUGCGUUUAAAAAAAAAAGGGGGAGAAAAAUGGAAUGAAAAUGAGAAGAAGCGUAUCCGAACUUUCACCUCUGUCAGUAGAUCAACGCCCCAUGUUGCCGCAAGUGGAUUUUGGAAGAGGGAAAAAAAAUAAUAAAAAAUGAGAAGAGGGGAUUUACAGAACAUUCUUGGCAUUGUCAUCACGCUCCUCCCUUCUCUCUUACACGAGCUGAAUCACGGAGCAAGGUGGCUAGCUGUGUGUGUACGCGCUCUUUCUCUAUCGAGGCUAUAGCAACGCCCGUGGGCAGCUUUUAAGGUAACCGGCCGACCGUUUUCUUUCCUAUUAGUCCCGGCGACUGAGUUUUAGUUAGUCUAUAAUACAAUGAGCUGAAACGAAGAAGGCGGGAAGAAGAAAUAGAAAGAUUAGAAAUCAAAACACUGAGCGCCAAAACGCAAACACAGAAACUUGUUUUCCUUUCUUUCAUGAAUGGCUAUCCAUCCAACUACGUGUUUUUACACACAUAUUCCCGACAGGUUGCCCUUUUCUUUUUGAAUGCCGGGCAGGUACAUAAACACGCAGUCCGGGACCUACCCCCCCCCCUCAGGAUUUCGCCAUUGUCGGUCAAGUCCUUUAAAUAGCAUUCAGGUUGGCAAUAACCAGGAGCGGGAAAAACGACCAAACGCGGACGGAAGACCAAUCGCUGGAUCGUUCUUUCAAUCGGUAACACCAUAAAAAAAAAAAGGCUAUUGGAAGAAAAAGAAAAUACGCAAUAUUCAUAUUUUUAUUUUUUAGGGUCAGCGCAGAUUCUCUUUUUCUUUCGAGUCUUUUUUUUUUUUUAUUAUUCCUCCGUGUCCCGAACCACAUUCCAACCUAGCCUUUGUGCAACAACACUUAUUAUACAACACAAAGAAGAUGAGGGAAUGGAGAAUGUUAGUCGUAAAAAAAAAAAGGAGAUGGA